CCUACGGGAGGCAGCAGUGAGGAAUAUUUUUCAAUUUACUCUCUUCUUCCCCCUCCCCUUCUCUUUCCUUAUUCCUUCCCUCUUUUUUUUCCCCUUCUUUUAUAUGGGAAUAAAAUGUUCCACGUGUGGGAUUUUGUAUGUACCAUAUGAAUAAGGAUCGGCUAACUCCGUGCCAGCAGCCGCGGUAAUACGGAGGAUCCGAGCGUUAUCCGGAUUUAUUGGGUUUAAAGGGAGCGUAGGUGGAUUGUUAAGUCAGUUGUGAAAGUUUGCGGCUCAACCGUAAAAUUGCAGUUGAAACUGGCAGUCUUGAGUACAGUAGAGGUGGGCGGAAUUCGUGGUGUAGCGGUGAAAUGCUUAGAUAUCACGAAGAACUCCGAUUGCGAAGGCAGCUCACUGGACUGCAACUGACACUGAGGCUCGAAAGUGUGGGUAUCAAACAGGAUUAGAUACCCUAGUAGUC
rnacentral:rRNA from 1 species